ensembl:antisense 4930473D10Rik RIKEN cDNA 4930473D10 gene
AUUCUGGGGCGUGGCCAAGUACACAAGAUGCCUCUUCAGAAAACCAUCUUCAUGUUAAAAGGAGGUCUACUGAAAACUAACUACCGCUAGAUGAGUCACCUCAAGGUGCAGUGCCUGAAUUGUGCUCCCAGAUCAAGGCUGAAAUUUAAUUGUAUGCAGAACUACAGCAGGUAACACGCACCUGUGAGACAGACUGAGCAUGGAAGAACCAAGCUGGUCUGGAGGAUGUUGCUGUGAGAAGUAAAUGGCAAAGAGAAGUUAACUGCUCAUCACCUGACCGGCAUAAAUCACCACCUUACACGUCACCCACGUGUGAAUGGCAAUGCUUCUCAUUAGAACGCAAGAUCCCUAGAAGCAGCUAAGUUCUUGCUACCUUCUGCAGGAUGAUCACAGUGUACAACAGUAUCUGAUAACCGGUCCAUAAAUGCCUGUUGAAGGACUAACUGAAUGAUCAAGUACUACAGAAUACAGAUGUGAGUUAAAUGA